rnacentral:rRNA from 1 species
GACGAACCACACAAGCGUUAUUCGGAAUUACUGGGCUUAAAGGGUGCGUAGGCUGCGCAGAAAGUUGGGUGUGAAAUCCCUCGGCUCAACCGAGGAACUGCGCCCAAUACUACUGUGCUCGAGGGAGACAGAGGUGAGCGGAACUUAGGGUGGAGCGGUGAAAUGCGUUGAUAUCCUAAGGAACACCCGUGGCGAAAGCGGCUCACUGGGUCUCUUCUGACGCUGAGGCACGAAAGCUAGGGUAGCGAACGGG